rfam:Paracoccus saliphilus strain DSM 18447 genome assembly, contig: Ga0111667_103
UCCCGUUCUCAGGGCGGGGUGCAAUUCCCCACCGGCGGUGAUAGCCCGCGAGCGCCUUCCUUUCGGGAAGGGUCAGCAGAUCCGGUGAAAUUCCGGGGCCGACGGUAUAGUCCGGAUGGAAGAGAACCGUG